AACGGAGGACGCAAGCGUUAUCCGGAAUUACUGGGCGUAAAGCGCGUGUAGGCGGGUCUGUAAGUCCGUCGUGAAAGCUCCCGGCUAAACUGGGAGAGGUCGAUGGAAACUACAGGUCUGGAGUUAGGCAGAGGAAUGUGGAAUUCCGCGUGUAGUGGUGAAAUGCGUAGAGAUGCGGAGGAACACCAGUGGCGAAGGCGGCAUUCUGGGCCACAACUGACGCUGAGACGCGAAAGCAUGGGUAGCGAACGGG
rnacentral:rRNA from 1 species